rnacentral:tmRNA from 1 species
AGCGGGCCGCAAGGUGAAAACUAAGCGGUAACUGGGGGAAUAGCAGACUAAACUUGUAGAUACUUAUUUCUCGAUGAUUUUGGACGCGAGUGCAAUUCUCGCCGCCUCCACCA